GAUGAACGCUGGCGGCGUGCCUAAUACAUGCAAGUCGAGCGAACGGACGAGAAGCUUGCUUCUCUGAUGUUAGCGGCGGACGGGUGAGUAACACGUGGAUAACCUACCUAUAAGACUGGGAUAACUUCGGGAAACCGGAGCUAAUACCGGAUGAUAUUUUGAACCGCAUGGUUCAAAAGUGAAAGACGGUCUUGCUGUCACUUAUAGAUGGAUCCGCGCUGCAUUAGCUAGUUGGUAAGGUAACGGCUUACCAAGGCAACGAUGCAUAGCCGACCUGAGAGGGUGAUCGGCCACACUGGAACUGGGACACGGUCCAGACUCCUACGGGAGGCAGCAGUAGGGAAUCUUCAGCAAUGGGCGAAAGCCUGACGGAGCAACGCCGCGUGAGUGAUGAAGGUCUUCGGAUCGUAAAACUCUGUUAUUAGGGAAGAACAUAUGUGUAAGUAACUGUGCACAUCUUGACGGUACCUAAUCAGAAAGCCACGGCUAACUACGUG
rnacentral:rRNA from 1 species